rnacentral:rRNA from 1 species
AGUCAAUAGAUACCCCGGUAGUCCACGCCGUAAACGAUGAAUACUAGGUGUAGGGGUUGUCAUGACCUCUGUGCCGCCGCUAAACGCAUUAAGUAUUCCGCCUGGGGAGUACGGUCGCAAGAUUAAAACUCAAAGGAAUUGACGGGGGCCCGCACAAGCAGCGGAGCAUGUGGUUUAAUUCGAAGCAACGCGAAGAACCUUACCUAGACUUGACAUCUCCUGAAUUACUCUGUAAUGGAGGAAGCCACUUCGGUGGCAGGAAGACAGGUGGUGCAUGGUUGUCGUCAGCUCGUGUCGUGAGAUGUUGGGUUAAGUCCCGCAACGAGCGCAACCCUUAUUGUUAGUUGCUACCAUUUAGUUGAGCACUCUAGCGAGACUGCCCGGGUUAACCGGGAGGAAGGUGGGGAUGACGUCAAAUCAUCAUGCCCCUUAUGUCUAGGGCUACACACGUGCUACAAUGGUCGGUACAACGAGAUGCAACCUCGCGAGAGUGAGCAAAACUAUAAAACCGAUCUCAGUUCGGAUUGUAGGCUGAAAC